GCUGUGUGUGUGUGUGUGUGUGUGUGUAUAUAUAUAUAUAUAUAUAUAUACACACACACAUAUACAUAUAUAUAUCAC